GUCAGAUUUUGGGGUGUUACAGUGUGUCUAUCAGAUAUUAGGGAUGUCUGUCAGAUUUUGGGGUGUUACAGUGUCUGUCAGAUUUCGGGGUGUUACAGUGUGUGUUUAUCAGAUAUUGCUAUGUCUGUCAGAUUUUGGGGUGUUACAUUGUGUCUAUCAGAUAUUGUGAUGUCUGUCAGAUUUUUGGGGUGUUACAUUGUGUCUAUCAGAUUUAAGGGUGUCUGUCAGAUUUUGGGGUGUUACAUUGUGUCUAUCAGAUAUUGGGAUGUCUGUCAGAUUUCGGGGUAUUAUAGUGUGUCUAUCAGAUAUUGCCAUGUCUGUCAGAUUUUGGGGUGUCACAGUGUGUCUAUCAGAUUUCAAGGUGUCUGUCAGAUUUCGGGGUAUUACAGUGUGUCUAUCAGAUAUUGGGAUGUCUGUCAGAUUUCGGGGUGUUACAGUGUGUCUAUCAGAUAUUGGGAUGUCUGUCAGAUUUCGGGGUGUUACAGUGUGUCUAUCAGAUAUUGGGAUGUCUGUCAGAUUUUGGGGUGUUACAUUGUCUCUAUCAGAUAUUGGGAUGUCUGUCAGAUUUCGGGGUGUUACAGUGUGUCUAUCAGAUUUUGGGGUGUCACAGUGUGUCUAUCAGAUUUCAAGGUGUCUGUCAGAUUUGGGGGUGUUACAGUGUGUCUAUUAGAUAUUGCGAUGUCUUUCAGAUUUUGUGGUGGUACAGUGUGUCUAUCAGAUAUUGGGAUGUCUGUCAGAUUUCGGGGUGUUAGUGUGUCUAUCAGAUAUUGGGAUGUCUGUCAGAUUUCGGGGUGUUAGUGUGUCUAUCAGAUAUUGGGAUGUCUGUCAGAUUUCGGGGUGUUACAUUGUCUCUAUCAGAUAUUGGGAUGUCUGUCAGAUUUCGGGGUGUUACAGUGUGUCUAUCAGAUUUCGGGGUGUCUUUCAGAAUUCGAGAGAUUUAAUAAUGUAACUUUUUCUCUGGUUCUGUUAGAUUUUUCCCACGACGGUUAUAAUUUAUUACAGUGUUUGUGGGCAGCGUGCUGGGAUACUGCAGUGUCUGCUCUACAUCCCACGGAAUGGCGGAGUCUAUUCUAAAUAUACAGAGAUUGGGACCACCAGGGAGAAACCAACCCACCCUCCCACAUCAUGACAUCAUAGCCGGCCAAGUCAGCGAGGAUUCACAAGGUGGGGGUUCUGAAAACGGAAAAGCUACUUCAAAGGAAAAAGUCAGCCAGCAACAAUGUAACUGUACCCAGCGUUACUCAUUGCCUUAAAGGGGAAGCACCACCAUUUCUUGAAAUGUAUAUUUAAUAAGUGUCACUGCUUG